rnacentral:rRNA from 1 species
UACGCCUACGGGGGGCAGCAGUGAGGAAUAUUGGUCAAUGGGAGAGAUCCUGAACCAGCCAAGCCGCGUGAGGGAAGACGGCCCUAUGGGUUGUAAACCUCUUUUGUCGGAGAACAAAACCCGGGACGAGUCCCGGACUGCGUGUAUCCGAAGAAAAAGCAUCGGCUAACUCCGUGCCAGCAGCCGCGGUAAUACGGAGGAUGCGAGCGUUAUCCGGAUUUAUUGGGUGUAAAGGGAGCGUAGACGGUGAUGCAAGUCAGAAGUGAAAGCCCGGGGCUCAACUCCGGGACUGCUUUUGAAACUGU